AGUCGGACAGGCUGUCGCCGCGGCCUUUGGCCGGGGAGGAAAGUCCGGGCUCCACAGGGCAGGGCGCUGGGUAACUCCCAGGGGGAGCGAUCCCCGGAAAGUGUCACAGAGAGUAGACCGCCUCCCGGAUUCGUCCGGGCGGUAAGGGUGAAAGGGUGGGGUAAGAGCCCACCGGCGGGUGCGGCAACGUAUCCGGCCAGAUAAACCCCGUCCGGAGCAAGACCAAAUAGGGAAGCGUUUGAGGCCGGCCCGGCCGAUGUUUUCGGGUAGGUUGCUUGAGGCGGCGGGAGACCGUCGCCCUAGAGGAAUGACAGCCACCCCGCAAGGGGGACAGAACCCGGCUUACCGUCCGGCUCC
rnacentral:RNase_P_RNA from 1 species